rnacentral:rRNA from 1 species
UGGGGAAUAUUGGACAAUGGGGGCAACCCUGAUCCAGCCAUGCCGCGUGAGUGAUGAAGGCCUUAGGGUUGUAAAGCUCUUUCGCCGGUGAAGAUAAUGACGGUAACCGGUAAAGAAGCCCCGGCUAACUUCGUGCCAGCAGCCGCGGUAAUACGAAGGGGGCUAGCGUUGUUCGGAAUUACUGGGCGUAAAGCGCGCGUAGGCGGAUCUUUAAGUCAGGGGUGAAAUCCCGGAGCUCAACUCCGGAACUGCCCUUGAUACUGGUUGUCUUGAGUUCGAGAGAGGUGAGUGGAAUUCCGAGUGUAGAGGUGAAAUUCGUAGAUAUUCGGAGGAACACCAGUGGCGAAGGCGGCUCACUGGCUCGAUACUGACGCUGAGGUGCGAAAGCGUGGGGAGCAAACAGGAUUAGAUACCCCUGUAGUCC